CAGUGACCUUGCUCUGCCAGACAACAUACGCUGUCCAUAGAGGCCCGAGAAGCACGUUGCUCGAAGGAGCAAAAGAAGAAACAACUGCGGAGCGCAAGCUUCCUAUACUGUGAAGUUUUUCGAUGGAGCAGUCAAGACCAUUAAGCCAACCAAAGUAAAGCCAUAUAAGCUAGAGAAUGUGAAGGCCCAGGAGAGAGACAUAACUCAAGGUGAGCAGAGCAAUGGGAAAGGUGAAGCCAAGGUGAGCAGAGCAUUGGGAAAGGUGAAGCCAUGGUGAGCAGAGCAUUGGGAAAGGUGAAGCCAAGGUGAGCAGAGCAUUGGGAAAGGUGAAGCCAAGGUGAGCAGAGCAUUGGGAAAGGUGAAGCCAAGGUGAGCAGAGCAUUGGGAAAGGUGAAGCCAAGGUGAGCAGAGCAAUGGGAAAGGUGAAGCCAAGGUGAGCAGAGCAUUGGGAAAGGUGAAGCCAAGGUGAGCAGAGCAUUGGGAAAGGUGAAGCCAAGGUGAGCAGAGCAUUGGGAAAGGUGAAGCCAAGGUGAGCAGAGCAAUGAGAAAGGUGAAGCCAAGGUGAACGGGAAAGCAGAGAGUUACAAAUCCAAAAAAGGAUCUUCAGACCUGGAGGAAGAAGAGAGUAGGAUUGAUGAAGAGGAGAAAACGCGGAAUGGCAACAUUGAGAACAGUGGACAGAAUGGGAACCUGAACGGCGAAGAGGGGGAGACGGGAGCAGGAGAACUAGGCCAGGAAGGUGUUGGGGAACAGACUGAAGAGCCACAAGCCAAGAAAGAUGGGCUGGCUGUCCAAGCUGAAAGGAAAGAUGGGAAGGUUGUCCAAGCUGAAAGGAAAGAUGGGAAGGUUGUCCAAGCUGAAAGGAAAGAUGGGAAGGUUGUCCAAGCUGAAAGGAAAGAUGGGAAGGUUGUCCAAGCUGAAAGGAAAGAUGGGAAGGUUGUCCAAGCUGAAAGGAAAGAUGGGCUGGCUGUCCAAACUGAAAGGGAAGAUGGAAAGGUUGUCCAAACUGAAAGGGAAGAUGGGAAGGUUGUCCAAACUGAAAGGGAAGAUGGGAAGGUUGUCCAAACUGAAAGGGAAGAUGGAAAGGUUGUCCAAACUGAAAGGGAAGAUGUGAAUGUAGGUGGGGAGUGUGUGAUGAGCAGUAACCAAAGGCAGGAGGAGAAAGAGAGGGAUGUUUCUGGACAGAGUUCCCCGCUGAACUGGUACCGACCUUCUGAAGGUAUGUAGGUUAGUGUAAGGCCUCGAUCACACAAACGGCGUCAUUGCAUUUUGGUACACCAGAAGUACAUUAAUUUCCAAUGAAACGCUACGUUUGCCUUGCAGCAUUGCGUUGCAGAGGCAGUUGCAAUGCGUUCGGUGUGGUGCAUACGUUGGAUUUAUCGCAUAUAUGCAUCAAACUGUAUGCCUAGACAGCUUGACAGAAAUGGUAGCAGAAGGUAAACUUUUGUUGCACACAGGUGCUGUGUACCGUUUUGCACAAUGACGCUAUCGGUGUGAUCAAGGCGUAAGGCUUUGACAGUGGAACAAUGAAAAACCGCUGUAGAAUCAUCAGGUUGAAAUAGAACAUUUCCCAUGGUUGUGCUCGUGUCCGAACUGGAGAAGAAAGAUGGAAGCUUGGCUUAUAGCUUUGCUUGGUAAAUUGAAUUGUGGCUUAAUAAAGCAUGUUAGGACAGAUUCUGUAGCUUGAUAGAUAAGUGGAAGAAGUCAAGGGGAGAAUGUCUGCUGAGUCACACUGAACUUUCACUUUUUAUCGUUUACAGAAAGUUAACACGAACUGAGGAAGAGGAUGGUGUGUCUCUUGGACAGAGGCCACCGCCAAAGAGGGAUAGGUCAGACACAAGCAAAGACAGAAGCAACUCAUCCCAGUCUCAGAAGCAAGUUAGAUCAGAUUCCGUCCCAAGCGUUAACCCCAGACCAGACAAACACCCAGGCAUCCACAGAGGCCAGCAUCGAAGCCCAAUCAGAGAUAGUGUAUAGAGUCAUCAAAAAACCAGCCACUUCCAAUCCUCUCCAUUGAACUGGACCACAUCCCCUUCAAGUGCAAGGCUCCUGGCUGCCUGAAGUCCUUCCGGAAGACCUCUCUCCAGCACUACCCCACGCCUCCGAACACGCCUCUGAGUGCAGCGUGCAGACCCGGGCAUCAGAGAAGCAGGUUGGCUUUCAGGAUACGCCUAGGAGGAGAAGCACCAUGUCAGGCUCUAUACACUCACCCCUGGGUGACAGACAGGCUGCCAUCUGAGUUAACCGUCAUCGUCGGAGAUCACUGAGUGAGAGAAGGAAGUAGAACCAGCAAACCAACAGCGGACCCCAAUGAUGAAAGAGUCAGUGAAACAGUGUUGGAGAGUAGGCUGGACUACACAGGGGAACUGGAUCCUCCUGACCCGUUGACCCGAUUGCCUCAGCUCAAACAUCUCAUCAGACAGAUGGUCAGAGACCUGGGCACCGUGCAUCAGAUGUCCCUCUGCUCCUCCAACACAUGAGUGCCCCACUGAGUUCAUCACUUCACCACAGAGACCUGGCUGGAGCAGGGCGUAGCAAGCAAGACUACAGUACAAAUGAUGGGUAGGGGAGUUACACAAACUGUCAUUAAUCAGUUAUUAUACCAGCAAAACUAUUGUAAUCAGAUUAUAGAUCCUUUUGAAAAACUACAUUACUUCUUGGAUUACUUUUCAUAUCAGAAACAAAAAACAUUAUGACACCUUUUCAGUUUUCUUAAUGACAGUCAAUUCAGCAUUUUUUUUUAAAGGCGCAAGUUUAAGUUUGUUCCAACUGAGCAAGUCUGACUGGAUGUUAGAGACCACUUUGAUGACACACCAAAUGAUGGCCACCAAUCAAAGACCACUAUGAUGACACACCAAAUGAUGACCACCAAUCAGAGACCACUAUGAUGACACACCAAAUGCAUUUGAGGGAUCUUGUUCUGUCUUCUGUCCAAAAGUAACUGAAAGUAAUCAGAUUGAUAAUGAGUUUGGAUAAUCCAAAAGUUACGUAACUGAUUACAAUUGUGGACAGGUAACUGUAACGGAUUACAUUGUUGAAGGUAACAUAUAGUCCACAACCCUGUGUGUGGGUGACAGGGACAGAGACGUUAACAGGGGAUUCCUGAGAUACUGUACCUGCUACUACUGACAAUUCAGGAAUCAACAAUAUGAAAUGUCUGGCAACCUGCAUUCCUGCCAUGGUGAUGAAGGAUGGAUAGGACAGGCUACUUUUCUGAAAUGCAAGAAAAAAUAAGAACAGAACAUAACCAUGUUUAACACGUUUUUAGUUUAGUUUUUAUUAAUUUGACCAUUUAAAAAACAAAAAAACAAGCACACAUAAAACUUAAAAGCCAUACAUGAAACUUGGGUUUUCGAUUGUAAGUCAACCCCUCCUAAUAAUAUAGUUCUUGCAAUUCAAUGUAAAACUUGGUGAAUACUUUGUUUUUGCUAACAUAAAUCAUCUAUAUCCAACAGGGCUUUAUGAUUGGAUGGUUUUGCUGAAAGGUUCAAAUAAGGUUCAAAUGUAGACCACUGUAGGCUUUUUCUUCUACAGUUCUAUUAAAUGUUUAUAUAACAUUACACAUGUUUGUUCAAUGUAAGCACAUAUGUAUCUAAUCCUAUGUUUCAAAUGCAUAUUUUUGAUUAGUGUUUCAAUGAAAUGUAUUUGGAUGAUGUUUUAAGAUCACAAAAAAUAAGGGUCACACUUUAUUUGGAUAGUCCGGAUAUUCCAUCUGUAGAUGCUUUACAGAUAGUUUGGCCAUCUGUUGAUAAGCAACUGCUUGCUAAGGUUAGGUUUAGAAUAAGGUUAGGGUUGGAGCUAGGGGGUAGCAUUAGUAGAUGGUUAGUUGAAAUGUUACUGAUAGUCUGUAGAGUGUCUACAGAUGGACAAUACAAAAAGUUAUACAAAAAAAACAGAAGUCCAUUUUUAAAAGGAGGGGAAAUAUUUUCAUAUUUGCAAAUAUUGUCCUGUCUUUUGAAUGUCCAGAAUGUUCUUGAGAAUAGAUGGUAUCUUUCUAUUGUCCUUUUUAAUAACAAAUGUUUCUUUCCUCAUAGAUAUUGACGUAGUAUAGUAUACAAAGUUAUUUAGAGGACAUUGCCAAUAUUAACACUUUUACAAACGAACUGUAUAUUUUGUAAAUUGUAAUACUCUGUUAAGAUAUUUCUCUUUGAUUUAAAUAUUUAGUUGUGAUGUUCGUUUGUUGUUCUUAUUUCAUGUUUUUCCAUGCGGGCACUGUGCUCUUAUCCUUUUAUAUAUUGUGAUUCAGAAUUUAAUUUAUAAUGUUUUUGAUUGCAUCUUUGUAAUCAGUAAGUAAUUAUAUGUAUAGCACGUAUAGCACGUAGUCCAUAGAGUAUAGGACUGUGUCACAGUAUAUUUAGUACUGAUAUACUCAGUACAUUGCCUGUGUAUCCUUCCCUGGUGGGUAGAACUAGAGGAUGUGUGUGUGUGUGUGUGUGUGUGUGUGUGUGUGUGUGUGUGUGUGUGUGUGUGUGUGUAUGUUUUGGCUGGAGAGCAGUGGGGGGAAAGCAGAUGGAGCCAGCCCAGCAUAUGGCCCCACAGUGUGUAGUCAGAAGGCUCUGGAGUCCCUUAUGGCAGUGCCACCUCUGCGUUUCCUUGUACCAUAUCAGGAAUAUUACUUUGGUUUCUUUCUAUUGUGCAUUUUCUUAAUCUUUGCAUGUGAAAUGGGUAUUUUUAUUUAUCCUUUAUUUAACAAGGCAAGUCAGUUAAGAACAAAUUCUUAUUUACAAUGACGGCCUACCCCGGCCAAACCCUGACGCUGGGCCAAUUGUGCGCCGCCCUAUGGGACUCCCAAUCACAGCUGGUUGUGAUACAGCCUGGAAUCAAACCAGGGUCUGUAGGGACGCCUCUGCACGGAGAUGCAGUGCCUUAGAUCACUGCGCCACUCUGGAGCCCCAAAUUGACAUGCGACUUUGACCUGACCCAUUUGAGAAUUAUUUGUUUUUUUCUUACUGUUUGUUUCAAUGGUUAAUCAUACUUUAUACGUCAGCUGCUUGCUAAGGUUAGGUUUAGAAUAAGGUUAGGGUUGGAGCUAGGGGGGAGGGUUAGUAGAUGGUGUCACUCCCCGCACCAGAACACCAAUGUAGGUGCAUUUAAUUAUUAUUCCCCAAAUUGCAAGCAACAUUAGCUUGCUUCUGAUGGUAUUAGCUAUGCAGAUACUAAGCAUAACUGACAGGGAUUCAUUAAUUUGAAGUACCAGAGAUCUAUUAAAUCUUGCUAGCUACCGAGCGCACUCCCAGUAAGUUAUAAUCGCAACGAGGUUCACACUGUCUGUUGGUUUCACUGCUUUGCGCAUCCUGUCGUCUCUGCCCACCUCGCUGUUUUAGUAAACGCAUCAACUCCUCUCAUUAAGCUAACUUCCCACAUUUUAAUUAACAGCCAUUUAACCAGAAAUGUCAAAUUAUUGCACAUUCUAAAAUGUAUUUAACUUGAAAAGUCAGUUAAGAACCAUUUACAAUGACGGCCUACCCUGGCCAAACCCUGACGCUGGGCAAAUUGUGUGCCGCCCUAUGGGACUCCCAAUCAUGGCUUGUUGUGAUACAGCCUGGAAUCAAACCAGGGUCUGUAGUGACCCCUCUAGCACUGAGAUGCAGUGCCUUAGACCACUGCGCCACUGGAGCCGCAAAUUGAUGUUUAAUGUGACCCAUUUCAGAAUGAUUUGUUUUCCCUUCCUGUUUGUUUCAAUGGUUAAUAAUAUUUUAUAUUUCAACUGAAUGUUGGCAGCGUCAGAUUUAUCAAUGUAUGUUUUUUUAAUGUAAUAGAUUUUGUCAUGAGAGGACUGAGAUUUAGCUUUACCCAGGACCCAACACUGGAAUUGUGCUAUUUUUGUUUAAUAAAUAAUUAUUUAAGAUUUCCAUGCAAGAAAAUAAACCUUUUUAUUUAUCU